AGCAGCCGCCGCGGUAAUACGGAGGGUGCAAGCGUUAUCCGGAUUUAUUGGGUUUAAAGGGUCCGUAGGCGGACUUAUAAGUCAGUGGUGAAAGCCUGUCGCUUAACGAUAGAACUGCCAUUGAUACUGUAAGUCUUGAGUAUAUUUGAGGUAGCUGGAAUAAGUAGUGUAGCGGUGAAAUGCAUAGAUAUUACUUAGAACACCAAUUGCGAAGGCAGGUUACCAAGAUAUAACUGACGCUGAGGGACGAAAGCGUGGGUAGCGAACAGGAUUAGAUACCCCGGUAGUCCCUGUCUCUUAUAC
rnacentral:rRNA from 1 species